AUUGAACGCUGGCGGCAUGCCUUACACAUGCAAGUCGAACGGCAGCGCGGGGCAACCUGGCGGCGAGUGGCGAACGGGUGAGUAAUAUAUCGGAACGUGCCCUGGAGUGGGGAUAACGUAGCGAAAGUUACGCUAAUACCGCAUACGAUCCAAGGAUGAAAGCAGGGGACCUUCGGGCCUUGUGCUCCUGGAGCGGCCGAUAUCUGAUUAGCUAGUUGGUGGGUAAAAGCCUACCAAGGCGACGAUCAGUAGCUGGUCUGAGAGGACGACCAGCCACACUGGAACUGAGACACGGUCCAGACUCCUACGGGAGGCAGCAGUGGGGAAUUUUGGACAAUGGGGGGCAACCCUGAUCCAGCAAUGCCGCGUGUGUGAAGAAGGCCUUCGGUUGUAAGCGACUUUGUCUAGGAACG
rnacentral:rRNA from 1 species